rnacentral:rRNA from 1 species
UACGAAGGGGGGCUAGCGUUGCUCGGAAUCACUGGGCGUAAAGCGCACGUAGGCGGACUACUAAGUCAGGGGUGAAAUCCCGGGGCUCAACCCCGGAACUGCCUUUGAUACUGAGAGUCUCGAGUCCGGAAGAGGUGAGUGGAAUUCCGAGUGUAGAGGUGAAAUUCGUAGAUAUUCGGAGGAACACCAGUGGCGAAGGCGGCUCACUGGUCCGGUACUGACGCUGAGGUGCGAAAGCGUGGGGAGCAAACAGG